rnacentral:rRNA from 1 species
AACGAACGCUGGCGGCAUGCCUAACACAUGCAAGUCGAACGAGACCUUCGGGUCUAGUGGCGCACGGGUGCGUAACGCGUGGGAACCUGCCCCUUGGUUCGGGAAUAACAGUUAGAAAUGACUGCUAAUACCGGAUGAUGACUUCGGUCCAAAGAUUUAUCGCCGAGGGAUGGGCCCGCGUAGGAUUAGCUAGUUGGUGGGGUAAUGGCCUACCAAGGCGACGAUCCUUAGCUGGUCUGAGAGGAUGAUCAGCCACACUGGGACUGAGACACGGCCCAGACUCCUACGGGAGGCAGCAGUGGGGAAUAUUGGACAAUGGGCGAAAGCCUGAUCCAGCAAUGCCGCGUGAGUGG